UAGGAGCCGAAGAAGGACGGGACUAACACCGAUAUGCUUUGGGGAGCUGUACGUAAGCGUUGAUCCAGAGAUUUCCGAAUGGGGGAACCCACUAUCUUUAGUCGGAUAGUAUCCUUACGUGAAUACAUAGCGUGAGGAAGGCAGACCCAGGGAACUGAAACAUCUAAGUACCUGGAGGAAGAGAAAGAAAAAUCGAUUUCCUGAGUAGCGGCGAGCGAAACGGAAAGAGCCCAAACCAAGAAGCUUGCUUCUUGGGGUUGUAGGACACUCUAUACGGAGUUACAAAAGAAAGUUAUAAAUGAAGCGGUCUGGAAAGGCCCGCCAAAGACGGUAACAGCCCGGUAGUUGAAAUGGCUUUCCCUCCAGAGUGGAUCCUGAGUACGGCGGAACACGUGAAAUUCCGUCGGAAUCCGGGAGGAC
rnacentral:rRNA from 1 species